rnacentral:rRNA from 1 species
UACGUAGGGGGCAAGCGUUGUCCGGAAUCAUUGGGCGUAAAGAGCGUGUAGGCGGCUCGGUAAGUCCGCUGUGAAAGUCCAGAACUCAACCCUGGAAUGCCGGUGGAAACUGUCGAGCUAGAGUCCGGAAGGGGCGAGUGGAAUUCCUGGUGUAGCGGUGAAAUGCGCAGAUAUCAGGAGGAACACCAAUGGCGAAGGCAGCUCGCUGGGACGUGACUGACGCUGAGACGCGAAAGCGUGGGGAGCAAACAGG